CCUACGGGGGGCUGCAGUGGGGAAUAUUGGGCAAUGGGCGAAAGCCUGACCCAGCAACGCCGCGUGAAGGAAGAAGGCUUUCGGGUUGUAAACUUCUUUUGACAGGGAAGAGCAGAAGACGGUACCUGUCGAAUAAGCCACGGCUAACUACGUGCCAGCAGCCGCGGUAAUACGUAGGUGGCAAGCGUUGUCCGGAUUUACUGGGUGUAAAGGGCGUGUAGCCGGGCUGACAAGUCAGAUGUGAAAGCCCGGGGCCCAACCCCGGAACUGCUCUGGAAACUGUGCGGCUAGAGUACUGGAGGGGCAGGCGGAAUUCCUAGUGUAGCGGUGAAAUGCGUAGAUAUUAGGAGGAACACCAGUGGCGAAGGCGGCCUGCUGGACAGUAACUGACGUUGAGGCUCGAAAGCGUGGGGAGCAAACAGGAUUAGAUACCCGUGUAGUC
rnacentral:rRNA from 1 species